UAUAUACUCCCUCCAUCCCGAAUUACUUGUCAUAGAAAUGCAUAAAUAUGGAUCUAUCUAGAACUAAAAUACAUCUAGGUACAUCCAUUACUGUGGCAAGUUAUUUCGGACGGAGGGAGUAUUUA
rfam:Triticum urartu cultivar G1812 contig1229990, whole genome shotgun sequence.